rnacentral:rRNA from 1 species
GAAUCAUUGGGCUUAAAGGGCACGCAGGCGGAACAGUGUGUGUUGUGUGAAAUCCCCCGGCUUAACCGGGGAAUUGCACAGCAAACUGCUGUUCUUGAGGCAGGUAGGGGUGCAUGGAACUCUUGGUGGAGCGGUGGAAUGCGUAGAUAUCAAGAGGAACGCCAGAGGUGAAGACGGUGCACUGGGCCUGUCCUGACGCUGAGGUGCGAAAGCGUGGGGAGCGAACGGGAUUAGAUACCCCGGUAGUCCACGCCGUAAACGAUGUCUACUAGGUCGUGGGUGUUCUGACACAUUCACGGCCGGAGCAAAAGUGUUUAGUAGACCGCCUGGGGAGUACGGCCGCAAGGUUAAAACUCAAAUGAAUUGACGGGGGCUCACACAAGCGGUGGAGCAUGUGGAUUAAUUCGAAGCAACGCGCAGAACCUUACCUGGGUUUGACAUGCUUGUAUGCCUUCUCUGAAAGGAGUUAGGCUGCCUUCGGGUGAAACUUGCACAGGUGCUGCAUGGCUGUCGUCAGCUCGUGUCGUGAGAUGUCGGGUUAAGUCCUUUAACGAGCGAAACCCUUGCCGUUAGUUGCCAGCGAGUAAUGUCGGGGACUCUAACGGGACUGCCGGUGUUAAACCGGAGGAAGGUGGGGAUGACGUCAAGUCCUCAUGGCCUUUAUGCCCAGGGCUUCACACGUGCUACAAUGGCAAUUACAGAGCGACGCGAUACCGCGAGGUGGAGCAAAUCGCAAAAAAAUUGCCUCAGUUCGGAUUGCAGGCUGGCAAUUCGCCUGCAUGAAGUCGGAAUCGCUAGUA